CUUAUAAUGCAAGGCGAAGGGGCGGCAACGUCACUGUCGUACGGGUGCGUAACGCGUAUGCAACCUACCUAUCACUGGGGGAUAGCCCGGGGAAACCCGGAUUAAUACCGCAUAAAACAGGGGCACCGCAUGGUGAUAUUUGUUAAAGAUUUAUUGGUGAUAGAUGGGCAUGCGUUCGAUUAGCUAGUUGGCGGGGUAACGGCCCACCAAGGCGACGAUCGAUAGGGGAGCUGAGAGGUUGAUCCCCCACACGGGCACUGAGAUACGGGCCCGACUCCUACGGGAGGCAGCAGUAGGGAAUAUUGGGCAAUGGAUGCAAGUCUGACCCAGCCAUGCCGCGUGCCGGAUGAAGGCCCUCAGGGUUGUAAACGGUUUUUAUUCGGGAAGAAGAGCAGGGAUGCGUCCUUGUGUGACGGUACCGAAUGAAUAAGCACCGGCUAACUCCGUGCCAGCAGCCGCGGUAAUACGGAGGGUGCGAGCGUUGUCCGGAUUUAUUGGGUUUAAAGGGUGCGUAGGUGGCCUGUUAAGUCAGUGGUGAAAUACGGUUGCUCAACAAUCGAGGUGCCAUUGAUACUGACCGGUUUGAAAUAAUUGGAGGCUGCCGGAAUGGAUGGUGUAGCGGUGAAAUGCAUAUAUAUCAUCCAGAACACCGAUUUGCGAAGGCUGGUGGCUACUAUUGGUUUUGACAUUGAG
rnacentral:rRNA from 1 species